AACAAACGCUGGCGGCGUGCCUAAUACAUGCAGGUCGAGCGGGGUUUUCGGACCUAGCGGCGGACGGGUGAGUAAUGCGUAGGAAGCUACCCGAUAGAGGGGGAUACCAGUUGGAAACGACUGUUAAUACCGCAUAAUGUCUACGGACCAAAGUGUGGGACCUUCGGGCCACAUGCUAUCGGAUGCGCCUACGUGGGUAUUAGCUAGUUGGUGGGGUAAUGGCUCACCAGGGCGACGAUCCCUAGCUGGUUUGAGAGGAUGAUCAGCCACACUGGAACUGAGACACGGUCCAGACUCCUACGGGAGGCAGCAGUGGGGAAUAUUGGACAAUGGGCGCAAGCCUGAUCCAGCCAUGCCGCGUGUGUGAAGAAGGCCUUCGGGUUGUAAAGCACUUUCAGUAGGGAGGAAGGGUGUUGUGUUAAUAGCACAGCAUUUUGACGUUACCUACAGAAGAAGCACCGGCUAACUCUGUGCCAGCCGCCGCCGUAACAC
rnacentral:rRNA from 1 species